rnacentral:rRNA from 1 species
UGCCCAGACUCCUACGGGAGGCAGCAGUGGGGGAUAUUGCACAAUGGGGGAAACCCUGAUGCAGCGACGCCGCGUGUGGGAAGACGGUCCUCUGGCUUGUAAACCACUGUCCCCAGGGACGAAAAUGACGGUACCUGGGGAGGAAGCUCCGGCUAACUACGUGCCAGCAGCCGCGGUAAUACGUAGGGAGCGAGCGUUGUCCGGAAUUACUGGGUGUAAAGCGCUCGUAGGCGGUAUGUCAAGUCAAGGGUGAAAUCCCCGCGCCCAACGUGGGAACUGCCUUUGAAACUGGCAAACUGGAGUGUGUGAGAGGAUAGUGGAAUUCCAGGUGUAGGAGUGAAAUCCGUAGAUAUCUGGAGGAACAUCAGUGGCGAAGGCGACUAUCUGGCACAUAACUGACGCUGAGGAGCGAAAGCGUGGGUAGCAAACAGGAUUAGAUACCCUAGUAUA